ensembl:ncRNA F53F4.23 ncRNA
UUUAAUUGUGAAAAAAGAAUCUUGCCUGCUUCAUGCCCGCCUACCUAUGUGCCUGACAGCCGCCUAUAUUCUGAAUUUUCGCGUGAACUUCCUCUAAUAGGACGGUGCAGGUAUAUCCAUUUCUAGUUGUCUCGUAGGCAAUAGCCAGGCAUAUGUUGCUUUGAAAGCAGUUUGAAAGUAGAAAGCAGUUGAAAACACACAAGUUUCAAAUACGUAAAAUUUUUC